AUUGAACGCUGGCGGCAGGCCUAACACAUGCAAGUCGAACGCAGUGGGGACGGGUGAGUAACACGUGGGUAACCUCCCAUCAGAGGGGAUAACACUUGGAAACAGGUGCUAAACCGAUACCGAUGGAUGGAUCCGCGGUGGAUUAGCGAGUUGGUGAGGUAACGGUCCACCAAGGCCCCGAGGCAUAGCGGACCGGAAGGGGUGAUCGGCAAACCUGGGACGGAGAAACGGCCCAGACGCCGACGGGAGGAAGCAGUGGGGAAUCUUCGGAAAUGGACGAAAGUCUGACCGAGAAACGCCGCGUGGUUGAAGAAGGUUUUCGGAUCGUAAAACUCUGUUGUUAGAGAAGCGGUAACUAACCAGAAAGCCACGGCUAACUACGUGCCAGCAGCCGCGGUAAUAC
rnacentral:rRNA from 1 species